CCAAAGGCUCUUUUCAGAGCCACCCAGGUUUUUUUAAAAACAGCUG
rfam:Canis lupus familiaris chromosome 35, whole genome shotgun sequence.